UGCCACAGUGUUGACUUCAGUUCAAGCAGCCUUUCUGUUCUGUUAGUUAGACUUUGGGACAUUGACACUGGCUGAGGGAAAUGACUGAUUAGAGAGUAUUAAUCUGUUCAUAUCCUUCCAUGCUUUGGGAA